rnacentral:rRNA from 1 species
CAGUAGCCGCGGUAAUACAGAGGGUGCGAGCGUUAAUCGGAUUUACUGGGCGUAAAGCGUGCGUAGGCGGCUUUUUAAGUCGGAUGUGAAAUCCCUGAGCUUAACUUAGGAAUUGCAUUCGAUACUGGGAAGCUAGAGUAUGGGAGAGGAUGGUAGAAUUCCAGGUGUAGCGGUGAAAUGCGUAGAGAUCUGGAGGAAUACCGAUGGCGAAGGCAGCCAUUUGGCCUAAUACUGACGCUGAGGUACGAAAGCAUGGGGAGCAAACAGGAUUAGAUACCCCCGUAGUCCCUGUCUCUUAUAA